AUGGAGCUUGUGGUGGGUGCUUCGGAAGCCACCCUGAAUUCUCUCGUAAGCAAGCUGGGCGCCCUCCUUGCCCAGGAGUAUUCUUUGAUCCGUGGCGUCCGCGGCGACGUACAGUACAUCAGUGACGAGCUUGCCAGCAUGCAGGCCUUCCUUGGUGACCUCGGCUCUGCCCGUGGCGCCCAUGACCGCCGGCUUAAGGACUGGAUGAAGCAAGUCCGUGACAUGGCAUAUGACAUGGAAGACUGCGUCGACGACUUCACCCACCGACUCCCACAUGACACCCUGAGUGAUAUCAGAUACUGCUCCUUCUUAAUGAUGACAAUCCACGAGCUGCGGACAUGGUGGCCUCGCCGUCAAAUUGCUUCCAAGAUUGCUGAGCUCAAGGUUCGGGCGCAACAUAUUGCUGAACGGCGCACCAGAUAUGGAGUCAACAAUCCAGAACCAAAACAAGGCGAU
rnacentral:rRNA from 1 species